AGGGUGCCUGCUACAAGCCGCUUGACCUCCUGGCGCUGCUUCCUCAGAUGUGCCGGCGUCGCUGCCUGCGCCUUCUCCAGCGCCACUUCGGUCACCGGCGCCAACUCCGGUCAGUGGUCUCCGGCACGCCCUCGCGACUUGACGAGGCAGAGAUGUGCCGAGGAUCCCCACGCCCUUGGUUCUCAUGUUCUCUGCUCCCAGCCGCAACAGAUCGUCCCAAAGGUAUCUAUCCCCAUUAUUCUCCUUCCUUCAUGUUGUUUCUCAAUGUAUCCAUGCCUAGGCUAAUUCACGCCAUCAGCCUGAUGAAAUGUCUUGAUGUUCUUUCUUUUAUCGAAUGUCUUUUGCUAUAAUAAGGCCAUGUGAAAUUAUAUGUAUUCUUUCUUGGUAAUAUUGUUGAUCCUUGUUAAUUUUGGAGCUGCUAUGGAUCCUUUUUUUUCUCAGAUGCCAUCUUUCAUGAGAAAUUCAGCACAUCAAAUCUCGAAGAUUUUUUUCCUCGAGACCUUUCAAAAUGUAAUUUAGUUUUGUCUUUUGACAUUUGUUCUUUUGUUGUUAUCUUAGGCAUUAUCGUGAGGAGGGAAGCGGCCGCAGAUUAAGGACAGCGCGG
rnacentral:lncRNA from 1 species